GUGGCAGUCAAGAGGGCUAGGGUUUCGGCUGGUGCUUCGCGCUCGCGUGUGAGUUCAAGUGGAAAAGAUGGAGUGCGUACAAAAUUCCGCUUCAUGUUGACGAAUUAUAUGAUGAAAUCAUCAAGAGGUUAUGUUCGACAAGAACUUCUAACUGAGGCUCAACGCCUUGAAGCAGUGCACAGGGCAGUUCAGAAGAUAAUUGACUACCACCAAGAACAGAUUCCAGAAACUGAAAAGUCGAUGGAACAGUAUGUAUGUCAGAAUGAAGUGCAAAUCAAGGAGUGUCUGAAGGGACAAGUGCAACUGUUUUGGAAGGAGACUUUGCAUUGAAGUCUGCCUGUCAAUUGCUUGACAUGUUCAAGCGCAACAGUAAAUGGAUUUGCUUAAUGCACAACAUGGCAUUGAAAUGUGCUUGCUGACCAGGAGAGUAAUGGCAUUUGUUUUCACUUGAUGGACCUAAAGUAGCAGGUAUUUACUUCUUUUGGAUAUUUAUUAUAUUAUUUGCAUGAUUCACUGUAUCUGCAAUACUGUAGAGGUGUACCAGGCUAACCUUUAUAUUUUUUUGGUCCUGCAUUGGGAAAGUCUUAAUGAAUGUUUAAUUCUCAGAAUACUGCAGCAACUAGUAAUUAUUAUUUUACUGUUAAAGAACAUCCAUCGUUCUUUUUUUAAUAGAAUAUCCGUAGGUUCUCUGUUCAUUUCAACGUUGGUUCACAUGUUUUGCAAAGACUCAAGUCAAUAGGUUUAUUCCUGCUGAGGCUGGAAUGCUCCUCUCACCCUGCUGGUCCUGGACUGGAUCGGAUCCCCUUCAAAUCAGUAGACUGGGUAGGAAUGAGUUGGUAUUGAUCCAGAGUUUUCUGACCUGUCAAAAUCAAUGAAUAUGCGUGAUGUACAACAUUACAAGUUAGUAUGUUGAACAGUGUUUCAUGUCCAUUCUUCUAGAAUGCACAAACAACAUUUCGUCAUUUGCACAUCUUUUCAUUAAUACAUAGGUGAAGCAAACAUACUUACAAGAGCUGUAUGGUCUAGGAAAUGAACCUGCUUUUUUUUUCGAGAGUACGCAAUCGCGUACCUUAUUUUGAUAGAAGGCGAAAGUAUUAUUUUACAAGAACUGAUACAAUGCUGCGAACAGCAAGAUCAGAAACUUCCUCCCUCCAAUUAGCCUAAGCUACUCUCUCGCUGAUUUGCCACCCUCCAAAACCUGCAAUGUUCCAGUGCUUCAUCUCAUGUAAAAUCCUAUUGGCCAACUCCAUAGCCGUACAUUGCACUCUAAUGUUGUUGAAUAUAUGUGAAUUCCGUUGCUUCCAUAGUGACCAAACUGUGAGAGUCACAAAGGCAUCGAAGCCCCUUCUUUCUUUGCGGUGAAAGCGUGCUCUGGCUCGCAACCACCAAGCCUCCAGCUGAUCAUCCAUGUUGGGUUGUAGGGACUGACGCCCAGCCUUGACUAGACAGUUGUACCACACCUCUCUAGCAUAAGCGCACUGAAUCAAGACGUGCUCUGCAGUAUCCUCAUCCUGAAGACAGACAAAAUAGGAUGACUUUGGUCUUGCAGGCCGUCGCGCUCCCUUCAAUCCGAAGUCCAAAUUCUAUGUUGAGCUGCAUGCCACACAAUUUUUAUACAUUUCAUAGGCGCCUUGGACUUCCAUAUGCAAUCUGACAGGGGGAACCUCUCUGAUCCCUGACAAAGCAUCGCAUAGGAGUAGUUGCCAGAACCAGAGCACAGCCAGGAAAACUCAUCUGAGUAUCUGACACAUCUCUGUCUCUCUGCAUGCAGUUGAUUAGCACCUAGAGUCUCACGCGUUGCAUGCAACCCUCCUGAGAUAGCUCACCUGACAUGUCUCCUAUCCAUCUAUUGCCGUUGUGACCAUCAUGCUCUGUUCUGUCACUCAUGUUCCUAGUGUCAACAAGCCGCAGCACUUGUGGAGCAAUUUCUUGUACUGAAAGCCCAUAUAUCCAUCGAUCCUCCCAAAACGAUAUAGUUUCCCAUUGCCCACCUUAAUUCUGACCAAACUUCAGAACACCUUAGCCAUCAUCCUUCAUCAUUGGCAAACCUUGCCACGAUCUGCUCUGAUCCGUCCUUCU